rnacentral:rRNA from 1 species
CAAUAAGCGGAGGAAAAGAAACUAACAAGGAUUCCCCUAGUAACGGCGAGUGAAGCGGGAAGAGCUCAAAUUUGAAAUCUGGUAGCCUUCGGUUGCCCGAGUUGUAAUCUAGAGAAGUGUUUUCCGUGCCGGCCCAUGUACAAGUCCCUUGGAACAGGGCGUCAUAGAGGGUGAGAAUCCCGUCCUUGACAUGGACCCCCGGUGCUUUGUGAUACACUUUCAACGAGUCGAGUUGUUUGGGAAUGCAGCUCAAAAUGGGUGGUGAAUUCCAUCUAAAGCUAAAUAUUGGCGAGAGACCGAUAGCGAACAAGUACCGUGAGGGAAAGAUGAAAAGCACUUUGGAAAGAGAGUUAAACAGUACGUGAAAUUGUUGAAAGGGAAACGAUUGAAGUCAGUCAUGCUCUUUGGUUUAAGCCGUUCUGCGGUGUAUAUCAUUGAGUGGGGUCAACAUCAGUUUUGAUCGAUGGAUAAAGGCACUAGGAAGGUAGCACUCUCGGGUGAACUUAUAGCCUGGCGUCAUAUACAUUGAUUGGGACUGAGGAACGCAGCAUGCCUUCGGGCCGGGAUUCGUCCACGUACAUGCUUAGGAUGUUGACAUAAUGGCUUUAAACGACCCGUCUUGAAACACGGACCAAGGAGUCUAACAUAUCUGCGAGUAUUUG